GACGAACGCUGGCGGCGUGCCUAAUACAUGCAAGUAGAACGCUGAAGGAGGAGCUUGCUUCUCUGGAUGAGUUGCGAACGGGUGAGUAACGCGUAGGUAACCUGCCUGGUAGCGGGGGAUAACUAUUGGAAACGAUAGCUAAUACCGCAUAAUAGUAGAUGUUGCAUGACAUUUGCUUAAAAGGUGCAAUUGCAUCACUACCAGAUGGACCUGCGUUGUAUUAGCUAGUUGGUGGGGUAACGGCUCACCAAGGCGACGAUACAUAGCCGACCUGAGAGGGUGAUCGGCCACACUGGGGCUGAGACACGGCCCAGACUCCUACGGGAGGCAGCAGUAGGGAAUCUUCGGCAAUGGACGGAAGUCUGACCGAGCAACGCCGCGUGAGUGAAGAAGGGUUUCGGAUCGUAAAGCUCUGUUGUAAGAGAAGAACGAGUGUGAGAGUGGAAAGUUCACACUGUGACGGUAUCUGACCAGAAAGGGACGGCUAACUACGUG
rnacentral:rRNA from 1 species